GAAUCAAAUACCCACCAAACCCCAUCUUUGUUCUCUCCCUAACAAGAAACUAUGUUGAGAAAGAUCGCAGUUGUCUUGCUAGUUGGAAUUAUAGGUUGGAUAUAUCAAACAAUCAAACCACCGCCUCCAAAAAUAUGUGGGUCUUUCAAUGGUCCACCAAUUACUUCACCAAGAAUCAAGCUCAGAGAUGGAAGACAUCUUUCUUACUUGGAAUCAGGCGUGCCCAAAGCUAAAGCUCAGUUCAAACUCAUACUUGUUCAUCCUUUUGGUGAUUCCAAAGAUUUCUAUCUCAGAGCAUCCAAAGAACUUAUUGAAGAGCUUGGGGUAUAUAUUUUGUCAUUUGAUAGAGCUGGAUAUGGAGAAAGUGAUCCAAACCCUGAAAGAUCAGUGAAGAGUGAUGCGUUUGAUAUCCAGGAACUUGCUGAUCAGUUAGUGCUUGGUUCAAAAUUUUACAUUAUUGGGAUUUCUAUGGGUGCUUACCCAGUUUAUGGUUGUCUCAAACACAUACCAAAUAGGAUCGCUGGUGCAUCUUUAGUAGUUCCAAUGAUUAAUUACUGGUGGCCUUCAUUUCCUUCAAAUUUAUCUGAAAUUGCGUUUAAAAGACAUCUCUUGCAAGAUCAAUGGGCAUUUAGGGUAACACACUAUGCACCUCAGUUGCUUCAUUGGUGGUUAACCCAGAAAUGGUUUCCUUCUCUGUCUAGUUUAGAGGGGAAGCUAGAUCUGUUUAGUAUCUCAGACAGAGAGAUGCUGAAAAAGAUUGCUGAAAACCCGAAUCCUAAUCAGCUUAAUUUUCAGGGAAAGGGAACACAGCUGGGUAUCUUUGAGUCUCUACAUAGAGAUUUAAUGGUGGCAUUUGGAAGUUGGGAUUUUGAUCCUAUGGAAUUGAAGAACCCGUUUCCUGGAAACGAGCAUAUUGUUCAAAUUUGGCAAGGUUAUGAAGAUAGGAUUUUUCCAUUUAUACUACAACGUUAUGUUUCAGAAAGACUGCCAUGGAUCAAGUACCGGGAGGUUGUUGAUGUUGGUCAUUUGAUGCCUUACAACACCACUAUAUCGGAUGCCAUCUUAAAGGCUCUCUUAAUAGGAGAAGAACCAUCUUUCAUGUAACUAACUCUCUUAUGGGUGAAGUGUAAAUGAGAUGCUUGUUAAGGUGUAACAGUGUCAGAUAUCAUGUAUUUUUCUCAUUAAUGAUUGCAUUAAUGGCUUAUUAUAAAUCUAUCACUUUGAAAGUUAAGGUUCACCAUUUUUCAACCAAGAAUAUCAGUGUUUGUUAUCCUUUUCAAGAGUCUUCAUUUGAAAAUCCCCUUUCAGGUUAUGGUGGUGGUGUUGGUGGGAGUUCUUGGGUUUGUUUAUCAGGCCAAUCACCAUUUCCCAGACUAUGGGGGUCUUUUGAUGGUCCUACUGUUUCUUCACUUUCGGACUCGGCGAUGGAAGAUAUCUCGCAUACAAAGAAUCAGGUGUACCUAAAUCUAAAGCUCGGUUUAAGACCAUUGUCAUUCACGGCUUCAGUGAUGCCAAAGAUUUUUAUCUGCCAGUAUUCGAAUUCUUGUAGGAAGUUGUAGAGGAGUUGGGUGUUUACUUCUUGACAUUUUAUAGAGCUUGGUUCAAGAUUUUACAUGGUGUUUCAUUGGAAGCCUUUGAUGUUGUCUUAAAUACAUACCAAACAGGAUUGCAGGUGCAUCCGGUAGUAAACUACUGGUGGCCUUCCUUUCCUUCAAAUGUAUCGAAAAUGACAUUCAAGAAAUUGCUCUUACAGGAUCAAUGGAUAUAUAGAGUAGCACAUUAUGCCCCACGAUUACUGUAUUGAUGGUGUACUCAAAAGUGAUUUCCUUCGAUGUUCUUAAUGGAGGAUGGCUGUUGUGAGAAUCCAGCUGUUUUUAGCACCUC